ACUGAAGUGUUUACUCUAGUCUAAAGUUAGGCAUUUGGCAUCUCAAACGAGCCUAUCAUCUUUCUGUGUUUGUGGUUGUUGUGCAUGAAUAGGUUGAUUGAACUAAAACCAAACAACUUUAAUGGAACCAGUAGCCUUUCUAAUAAAGUCAGCAGGACUGCCUAAUCAGGUCAUGCUUCAUCCUAAUUAACUCAUCCUGAUUAAUAGGUCUAAUUACUUGGGUGUGGCUUUCUUUGGGUUCACAACACACUCUUGAUUUAAACUUGAGGAAAAUUAUUGGUUCACUUUGUUUUUUUUAAUUUUGUGAAAGCUUUUCCCUUGGUGUAGAGAACUUCAAGCUAUGGCUGCUAUAUCAACCCAAGAUCCCACUGGCGGUAUUGCAAGUGUACUCCGUAGACCACAGCAUGCACAGGCCCCUCAGUGCCCUGGUCCUCUGCCAUCCAGAAUAUUACACCCAGAAGAGCUGCUCCAGCGAAACCAGCCCUUUUACAUCCCCACUGUCCAGCCGUUCUUCCCAUAUCAAUGGUCCAUGUCAACUCCAUAUGUGCCCUAUGGUGGAUUUCAUGGAUUGGGUUAUGGCAUGAUGCCAUCAUUAUUACUUCCCCAGUGUUUAGAAGUUCCUGGAUACAUGAUUCCUCAAACUCAACUGCACAUGUUGGACUACAGACGUAUGACUCCCCAUGUGGCUCCAACUAUUGCUCAUCAGACCCGCCACUUGCAUUUUCAAAACGGGAUGCCCCCUGGUCGUGUGAUGGUCAGCUCAGAGGUGCAAACUGAACCCCUUUGUCAUAGCAUAGACUCACACGAACGUGCAAUAUCCCACAGUUGUUCUGAAUCCGGUAGGGGUACUGGCAGUCCAGUGUCAACAUCACCCAGCUCCCUGGAUAACAAAUCAGUAGCUUGCCCUGAUGGUACAUCCGUGCUAACUCAAAAUUACAAUGCCACCAAUGCUAUCAACACUACUGAUUUGUCUGCUGUUCCCAAGAGUGAAAUCCUUCAAGCUGAACAUAUGCAAAUUAAAUGUGAAAAAAUGCUUUCUGAGCAUAAGAAGUUUCAGAACAAGGAUAACAUGGAGUUAGCUAGUCAUAAUGAAACUGACCUUUUGCAGUGCAGCUUGGGUUCUGUACAGUCUUCAGGGGACAUCGUCUUGUGCUCUUACCAGUCAUUAGCAUUUAGGAAGGAUAAACAGAGGGUUGAAGCUGGGAUGUUAAGGUACUCCAGGAAGCAUUGUCUCCCUGCUUGUACAGAAGUUACUGUGGCGAGAACCUCUCCAUCUUGUAGAGCUUUUAAAACCUGUCCUUUACCAAGCAGAUCUGUCAUUACCCAAAGCAUCAAACCAAAGAAAAACUCGGAGAUGCCAUUUCAGGAAAAGAGCAGAGAAGAUGGCCACACCUUCAAUAACAUUGACUUUAAGAUUCUGCGACUGCCAUUUGACAUGGAGAACCAUAACCAGCCUUGUCAGCUGGAGGCUUCUAUCUGGUCAGUAGAGUCUCUGAUACCUUAUGUCCCUUCCACUGAGUGGAUGACAGAUAAUGGUCUUCUAACUCCUCAGAAACCUUUGAGCCCACUGAAUGAACACAGUGAUGUUAUCUCAAAGCCAAAUUAUGUUCAUGAAGGGAAUCUACAACCUGGGGCAUCAGUUAAAUAUCAUGGUCAUCCAUGUCAGCUAGAGGCCUCUAUCUGGUCAGUAGACUCUUUGAUGCCUUAUGUGCCUUCCAAUGAGUGGAUGGUUGAGAAUGGGUUUUUAACUCCUCAGAAGCCACUGAGCCCACAGAUUAAAUCUAGUGAUCUAUCAAAGCAGAAUCAGUCUUCCACUGGCAUUCCAGCAGAGAAGAAUCUACAAACUGGUGCAUCAACUAAACAUGACUCCUUUAACUCCCUUGAGUCCCGCUCCCCAUACCGUCCCUCAACAAGCUGGCUGGCUGACUUUGGUAAUGUAUACUACUACAGUAAAUUACCUGUUGUACAGCAACAUCCUCACCUUCCAGAGAAGCAGAAACCAAAGAUGUCCCUUGCCAUUAGUCUUGAAUCAUCUCCUCUCAGAAAUGGGAAAAACACAAAGAACCAUAGCCCAGAAACUGGCCUCUCUGAUCAGAAGCACUGUUCAUUUCAUACCUGCAAGUGCAAAGCAAAAAGUAAUUUGGGGUUAGCUGGAUCUUCCAUGAAGUGUGGUUGGGUUUCUCGUUCCACACUGGAGAAUGAACUUCCCUUCUGCCCAUCAUGUAGAUAUGAUGUGAAAGGAAAGGAUCAUAGAAAGCCUUUUUCAGAUGGUUUUAUCUGCAAAAAAGAAGAGACUACUGACUUGAAAAACUUUUACAUGAAGAGGGCUACUUUGGGCUUCCAUGGUACCACAAAGAUGACUUUAGAAAGUCAUUUGGCAAAAUGCUGUGCUGCUGCUCGGGCUAAAUUGAGUGAAAAGACUGCACUGUGUGAAGAUUGCCAAUGCCUUAAUCCCAGCCCUGCACAAGAUAAAAGUGGUGACCUUGGAUGGCGAAUUUGUGAAAAGAGUGAGGAAGACUGGAUUAACAACCCAAAUCAGAGAUUGUUACAGAGACUGCAGAAAAACAAUGAAUGGAAAGCAAGUAUGCAGGUGUCUAAAACUGAAAGGAUUCAGAAAAAAGAAAGUAAAGAGUACUCACAAGAGAUCACACAAGAGGAAGACACAAUGUUUAUUGCUACCGGUGGUCAGUGUGCACACCCCAUGGAGAGCUAG
ensembl:lncRNA